CCUGGUUAAUCGCCAGUAGUCAGAUGCUUGUCUCAAAGAUUAAGCUAUGCAUGUGUAAGUAUGACCGAAUUCAGACUGUGCAAAUGCGAAUGUCGCUCCAUUAAUCAGCUCUCUAUAGUUUGUUUGAUUUUAACUACUACUCGGAUAACCGUCAUAAUUCUAGAGCUAAUACAUGCAACAAACACUUCUGGCCAGCCAUGCAUUUCAUGAUCACAAAGGUCGACGGUGUCUCUUCUGCUCGACCUUUGCUCUUAUGAUUCAUGAUAUCUCGACGGAUCGCAUGGCGUUAGUGCUGGCGACGCAUCAUUUCAAUUUCUGCCCUAUCAACUUUCGAUGUUAGGAUAGUGGCCUACCACGGUGGUAACGAGUGUCGGAGAAUUAGGGUUCGAAUCCGGAGAGGGAGCCUGAAAAAACGGCUACCACAUCAAAGGAAGGAAGCAGGCGCGCAAAUUACCCAAUCCUCACACGACGUGCACGUAGUGACAAUAAAUACUGAUACAGGGCUCUUUUGGGUCUUGUAAUUGGAAUGAGUACAUUCUAAAUCCCUUAACGAGUAUCCAUUGGAUGGCAAGUCUGGUGACAGAAGCCGCGGUAAUUCUAGCUCCAAUAGCGUUUAUAUUUAAAGUUGUUGAUCAGUUACAAAAGCUCGUAGUUGAACAUUGGGAUGGGUCGACCGGUCCGCCUUCGGUGAACACCGGUCGGCUUGCCCCUUCUGUCGGCGAUACCCUCCUGGCCCUAACUGGCCGGGUCCUGCCCCCGGCGCUGUUACUUUCAAGAAAUUAGAACCCGUGCCUCAAGAGCCGAACGCUCCUGUAUACAUUAGCAUGGAAUAACAUCAUAGGAUUUCAAUCCUAUUGUGUUGGCCUCCGUAAUUCGGCAUUGAGUAGUAAUUAUUAACAGGACAUCACGGGUUCGCCAUUCCUAUUUCAUAGUCAGAGGUAAUAUCUUUGGAUAUGAAAACGAACACUGCCGAAAGCAUUGCCAAGGAUGUUUUCAUUAUUCAAGAACGAAAGUUGGGUGCUCGAAGACGAUCAUAUACCUUCCUAGUCUCAACCAUAACGAUGCCGACCAGGGAACAGCGGAUGUUGCUUUUAAGACUCAGCUGGCACCUUAUGUGCGAGAAUUCAAAUGCGUCAGGUUUAUGUUCGCAAAGCAAACUUAAUGAAUGUUGACCGCAGGCACCACCCAGAGUGAAGCCUUGCGGUGCUUAAAAAUUUUGCACUCAACACGGGAAACAUUACCCGCUCCAGCACCUCCACCCCUAGACAUUAGUAAGGAUGAAUCACACUGAGAGCUCUUCUCUUGAUUCUUAUGGCUGUCGUGCAUGGCCAGUUCUUACUGCCGGCUUGGAGCAGCGAUUUGUCUGCGUUAAUUCCGGUUAACCAACUCCCAGACCUCCAUCUCCUAACUCUCACAUGACGCAUCCCUUCCACGGCCGCUCUUAGAGGGACUCAUGCGCCGUUUAGGCCCAAGGUCAAAGUUUAGAGGCAUAACAGUCUUGAGCCCUUAGAAUGUUCUCUAGCGACCACGCGCGCACACUGAUCGUAUUCAACGAUUACACACCUUGCGUCCGACAGGCCCGGUAAUCUUUGAAAUUUCAACGUGAUGGGGAUAGAUCAUUGCAAUUGUGUGUCUUCAACGAGGAAUUACUAGUAAGAGCGAGUCAUCAGCUCGCCGUGACUACGUCCCUGCCCCUCGUACACACCGCCCGUCGCCUCUACCGAUUGAAUGAUCCAGUGAAGUGUUCGGAUCGCGCCGACGUGGGUGGUUCGCCAUCUGCGACGUCGCGAGAAUUCCACUAAACCUUAUCAUUUCGAGGAAGGAGAAGUCGUAACAAUUUCCGUAGGUGAACCUGCGCAAG
rnacentral:rRNA from 1 species